GUAGGUGGCAAGCGUUGUCCGGGAAUUAUUGGGGCGUAUAGCGCGCGCAGGCGGUUCUUUAAGUCUGAUGUGAAAGCCCACGGGCUCAACCGUGGAGGGUCAUUGGAAACUGGAGAACUUGAGUACAGAAGAGGAAAGCGGAAUUCCACGUGUAGCGGUGAAAUGCGUAGAGAUGUGGAGGAACACCAGUGGCGAAGGCGGCUUUCUGGUCUGUAACUGACGCUGAGGCGCGAAAGCGUGGGGAGCAAACAGGAUUAGAUACCCUGGUAGUCCACGCCGUAAACGAUGAGUGCUAAGUGUUAGGGGGUUUCCGCCCCUUAGUGCUGCAGCUAACGCAUUAAGCACUCCGCCUGGGGAGUACGGCCGCAAGGCUG
rnacentral:rRNA from 1 species